AGCGCGACGGGAUCGACGCCGCGCGUGACCAGCAGGUAGUCGCGCAGCGCUAUGCCGUGCCGGUUCUC
rnacentral:sRNA from 1 species